CCUACGGGAGGCUGCAGUGGGGAAUUUUGGACAAUGGGCGCAAGCCUGAUCCAGCAAUGCCGCGUGCAGGAAGAAGGCCUUCGGGUUGUAAACUGCUUUUGUCAGGGAAGAAAUCCUCUGGGUUAAUACCUCGGGGGGAUGACGGUACCUGAAGAAUAAGCACCGGCUAACUACGUGCCAGCAGCCGCGGUAAUACGUAGGGUGCGUGCGUGAAUCGGAAUUACUGGGCGUAAAGCGGGCGCAGGCGGUUGAAAUCCCCGGACUUAACCUGGGAACUGCACUUGUGACUGCACGGCUAGAGUACGGUAGAGGGGGAUGGAAUUCCGCGUGUAGCAGUGAAAUGCGUAGAUAUGCGGAGGAACACCGAUGGCGAAGGCAAUCCCCUGGACCUGUACUGACGCUCAUGCACGAAAGCGUGGGGAGCAAACAGGAUUAGAUACCCGGGUAGUC
rnacentral:rRNA from 1 species